ensembl:lncRNA
CUAGAAACAAUGUAUAUUAAUAGACAAGAUAACUCACAGAAAAGGAAGGACAGUUGGUCUUGUAAAAAUAUAGGGAUAUAAAAUAUAGGGACAAUUCUAAAGUAAAUAGAACAACACACAUACCUAAAUUAUGGUAAAAUAAAUAAGUGGUGGCAUUUUGAACUCUAGAGCAAAAGUUUAAGAAGCUUAGAACUUAGUUUUGUUGGGAUUGGAUAUUCUUCCAACUGGAAGACACUUGACUGAUUACAUGUUAUUCUUACAGCAGUUGCUGUAGGGACCAUAAUUUGGCUAUCAUUGUGAAUAUUUUUGUGGCAGGAGUCCAGGUAUUUGAGACAGAAUGUUUACAUAGAGAUGUUAUUUAAAAAUUCAGAUUUAGUGAUCUUGCUCUAAGAAGAAAGGAAAUUACCCAUGUGUUAGUGUAUAUCCUCAGGAAAAAACAGCACAUAAGACGCCAGAUGGAAGGGCAUGGGCUGAAUUCUGGAGACUGAGUGUACAUCAAUAUACACCAGGCUGGGGGUAUACUUCUUACAGCACCUGCAGUGGUAAAGAUCGUCAUGUCUCUCUUUGGUGGGUGCAUAAGUCUCACAAGAAGUGAGGUCCAGCUGAAUAAUGGGUCUUAUGUUUAGGAAACCAGAUGGAGAAGGGUUCGCCAGCUUCAGCUGGAAUGUCAGUUUGUUGUGUGAUGAGUGAUGGAAGUAAGAGAAUGUAUGGUGUAAUCAUAGAACAGAGGCCAUAAGUCUCUAAGUCUGAAUGCCUCACAGAAAGAAGGCAGAAGCCUGAACCAGGACGACAGGUUCCACGUCUGAUGAUCCAAGGGGACCAGAAGGACCUCUCCCAGUGAUACCAGGAGAUCUAGUCUACGUUCGAGUGUUCCGGAGGAAGUGGGAUCAACCGAGGAGAGAAGGACCCUACGAGGAGGCCGCAGCAACAAACACGGCAGACCAAGUGAAAGCCAAAAUACGACAGGUGCAUCGCCUAAUGCACCCAGAAGGAGAGACAACACUGGAGGGAGAACCUGCGAACAACCAGAAUUCACUCCUGUGGGGCCAGAGUGUCCAGGGAUGGGAGGGAGUAACAUGCCUGAUACUCUUGAUGACAUACCUGUUGUGGCAGACCUCUUUGACAGAAGCCCUCCACAGUGGGACCCCGAAGUAUCACCUACAGAAUGGGAACAUCUCUUCCCUAAAAUUGACACCCUUCCAGAUGGAAGCCCAGUCCGUCCUGAGGAGGGAGCCUCAGGGGAAGAAAGAGGAGGAGAGGCCUCACAAGGAACAGAAGGAGAGACCCCACAAAGAGGAGGAAAAGUCCAGCAAGCUGAAGAAAAUGGGGAUUUCCCCACAAUUGACUUUUCAGCUCUUGAAUGGUAUCCUUAACAGACACUUGAAGUUAGAACCACAGAAGAACAAUGACAUUGACAUAACAGAAGUAACAGUGAAUGCUAUUAUAGAAACAACAGACUCACGCACAAUCAAGAUGUAGGGUGGAAACGGGAAGAGAAGUGAGGAACCAGUCAAACAAUCUAAAAAGACUGACAAGGUUAGAAUCUCUGUUCCACCUCAACACAUAACUGAAACAGGAGAACAGAAGACAAAAGGAUCAAACCCUUACCGGAGAUUGCAUUCGGUGGAUGGACACAUCAAACGAAGGGAGAAGUCAUUUGGGACUCAAAAGGAUGUGACCUGACAUUAACCAAAGAAGUAGACAAGUGGGUGCUCACCAUGAAUCAGAUUGAACCAGUUGAAGGUGAAGAAUUAAUAGUUGAAAUAACAAGAACAAGAUUGACCGAAGGGAGUAGCACCUCAGUCAUUAGAAUUGGUCCUACGCGAAUACCUAAACAGGAAGAGCUAGAAUGACAAAGAAACCUAAAGCAUCAGAACCAGGAGGGUUCUUUACUGACAUUUGGAACUUUUUGACAAACUCUAAUGAUAUACCUCAAGACAAAAACAUUGUAAAAGCGACAUAUAUCUCAGAAUCAGAACCACUCAAGGACGCCACACGAGAAGAAGGUGUGAAGAACGAGUGGUACGAAUGGGCUAAGUAUACAGCAAAAACAAACAGGAUGGACAAUUGUAUUUUGUGUAGAAAAUCAGCUUUGUCUGAUCUUUUGAUAGUACCUGAACUUGCAUCAUUUGAAGAAUGUGUUAAAUGUAAAAUGUUCAAUGUAUUCAGAGAAAAUACUACAUUCCUUUGUGUAACAUAGAAUGCAGUUUGGCACUAGGUAACACUAAAGGCAGAAGUGAAUUAAAUCAAAAAUAUGUUGGGAGAACAUGAAUGUGCAAUAUAAGAACUGAAUUGAAUGAUCCUCAUAAUGAUGGGUUUACUAUUGUAAAAAGAAAAGAAAGGGAAAAAAUGAAUGUUUCUACAGCUAUGGAGAUAAUGGGAUAGGAUGUGGGAAACACUACAGUUAAUUGAAUAAACGACUUGAGUGAUAGAAACUGCAGGAGUUAGUCAAUUUUAUAAAGUAAUGAUUGUAAAACACAAAGGUAAAAUGUGGUAAUAUAACUCAAGUAACAUUAUAUCUUGAAAUGUUAAAGAAUCAGGAUUAAGGAAUAGCUGAUAGUUUCUGGAUGAGUGGGCAUACUACAUGCUCAUUGCUUCUUCACAAUAUAAUGAAUGAUUAUAAGUGUUUUAUUCUUUACAGACUAGAUCUUUUACUCCUAUCUAUGUUAUUGUUUGGAGAUGUUUGGAGAGGUUUUGUAAGUGUUUUAUGUUUCAAAUAGGAUCUGGAGAUGUUUGGUCCAGGUGAUUUGUAAACUUUAUUUUUGUUAAUGGUUUUGUCAACUGUUGGUAUUGGCCUCCACCCUAUAUGUCCUUUUAGUGUAGUUUUUGGUGCUAAAUUAGCACCAGAGGAGGGAUUUGUGAGAGCAAGAUGUACAUAUAGGGAGAAACAUAAUAUUGUAGCACAAGAGAAAGAUACACUUAGAGUGCAUUUGCCAUUCUGGUAAAAUGCAUUGUCUAUUGUAUAGGACAUGACGAGAAGAGACACAUAGUCUACUAGUCCUAAUAAGGACAAGCCAAACAUAAGGGGCCCAUAGGAUAAGAUGGGUAUGUAUUAUUUUUGGGACAUGAAGAGGUCCUGUCACCAUUAUAACUUGACUGAAAGCAGAUAUGGGUGUUAUUGGGUGUGAACAAGCAGGAAGCACAUAUUGAAAGAUAAUGGUGGCAGAUGGACUGAGGGAAGUAACUUCAUUUGCAUGUGGGAUGGACUCAUAUGUUGUAUGUGUAUAAAUCAGAGCCAGUGCUCUGGAAAUGUGUGUGUUCCGCAGACCAUCUAGGCUUCUGAUAUGUUUGUAUUAAAAGCCUAUAUUGAAUUCACAA